ensembl:lncRNA novel transcript
UGUUGGCCAGGCUGGUCUUGAACUCCUGACCUCAGGUGAUCCACCUGCCUGGGCCUCCCAAAGUGCUGGGAUUACAGGCGUAAGCCACCGCGCCCAGCCAAGUAAAAUUAAAUAUUCUUGUAUUCUUUUUAUAUCUCUGGAAAAGUAUUAAAUACAUUCUUCCAGAAAAACCUUCGCUGAAGGGCUUGGCUGGACUAGUUUCCCACAGCUUAUCCUAGGGCCUCUGGGUAGAAUUGUUUUUCUUUAUUGUGUGGAUAGAUCAGACUCAGUACGGAGACCAACAGGCUCUCUGUCUUCUCCUCAGAAGCAACUGGGAUUCUCCAGAGCAGUCAUAAGGUGACAGAAAGGCCCCAGAACAGAUGUUUCGUGUGUGACAGAGCCUCCAGGGAGACGACUCUGUUGCUUUAACAGUGCUAAUGAGGCCAGGUUGCCAGUGGGUCCUCACCUGAGCCAGUUACUUAUUUAUAUGACUCCAUCUUAUUCCUCAAAGGGUUUAAAGUGCCCUGUUUGGGCCAGGUGUCUUCACACUGAGAAAAGCGGCGUUCCACGGUCACAGCCAGGUGAGUGCACUCGCCCAUCGGCAUGGGCAUCCGAGGAGAGCAGGGCUGUGGUGGGUAAAAUGCGCUCUGCGAAACCUCGCCUCUAACUGCCUUGCUCAAAGCAACCUGCCACAGAGGUCAAGAGCGUCAUUUACUCAUAUAAAGAACAGUUCUUUCUCCUCAACCCCUGAGAAGCAAAGCCACCGUAAUAAUUUUCACUAUACAUAGGAAAAAAUUUUUGUAAUCAAAAAACGAAACGAAAUUCCUGAUUCAACACAUUCCGAGGGCUGUCCAAAUCAACCUGGCAGUGACAUCAGUGCUGGUGAAAACCACAUUUUAUGACUCUGCCUUCACUCGUCCUCCUGGGCAUUUUUUAUUCUUCAAAUUGGAGAUAAAAAUAAGGGUUGGUCUCUCAAGGUUAGGAGGGAGAGAGCAGCAUAUGUUCUUCAAAAGACUCAAUAAGAUAAUAGAUUUUUUUAAAAGCUGUUGCUAGUGUAACUUACUUAUAGUUUCAAAGGGCUUUUUUAAAAUGAAAUCUUUGCAAGCAAUAGUAAAGAAAUCUAGAACCCCCUGAGGUGAUGGUUAGAGUCCUGUCACGGAUUUAAAUCUAAUUAUUAGCCUGAAAGUAAAAAGGAGAAAAAACCGGCCGAGUGUCAGCCCGGAAAACAAUAAUCGCCGUGGUGGUGUUCAGCAGCCCAGUUAUUAGUGCCUUCAAGGAUAGUUCACCGCAUUUAUUCUUGCCCUUGAAAGACAGCCACAGAAGCUUCGAUGUUUUCUGAUAAUUGCUUCUUUUUCCAUGGAGUAGAGGUGCUUCCUGUGCUCCUAGGUUUCAUCUCUUCUGAGCACCUGAUGAAAAGCAUUGGCUGUCAGUGCAGGCACUUAGAAGAGAGGCAAUGUGCACAGAGCCGAGUGCCCCAGCCUGCACUUCCCCACCUGUGUGACCUUGUGCACGUAACCUGACUUCUCUGUGCCUCAAUGUCUUCAUGUGUAAAAUGGAGAUUAAAUGAGAGAAAGCAUGUCAGAGUCCUUGUUCCAUCAGUCCUCCUGAGUGGCUGCGGAACGCAGAAAAGGCAGCUGGUGACAUGCUGUGAAUUGGAAGUGGCUUCUAUUUACCUCUUCUCCACCUACUCAUAUGGCCACGGAUGGUGCCCAGUUCAAGCAGGAAUAAAACACCACGCGAGGCUAACUGGCCUAAGUCCUUCGAGUGGAGCGCAGAAACUUGCUUUAAGAGAGCCUGAUUAAAGGCCCCAAGUCCAUUUUAAGGCAAAGGCCAGAAAAGCGACCUUCAGAAGGAGCCAGCACCCCAGCUCCUGCCUCAGGGCGAUAUGAAGACCCCAGGAAGGAAAUUAUGCUGAGAAAAGGAGAUCACACCUCUGUCCAGCCUGCACCGGCCCCUUGGCAUGCCCUGAAGACACAAGGCCUAAAUCAAGGUCAAAGACACAGCCCUCCUGGUUGUGAAGAUUCCAAAGGCUCCCAGCUGCAUGAGGAGGGUUACCCAGAAUGUCAGAUUUGGAGCAAUUCAGCGAGAACCCUUCAAAAUUCAGUGUGGUAUGUGGAAGGUAAGAGGCAGACAGGCCACCAGGAGGUGGGUUUUAUUUCGUGUGCACAAAGUUUUAAAAAAUACAUGUGCACCAUUAAAAGGGAAAAAGAAGAAAAAGAAAAACAGCAAAAGCAGGAGACUCUACGUUUUUAAAAAUCUGGAUUUCCAGCUUCUUUUAAAUAAAGAAGUAGAGGUUCUGGCUACACUGGGCCCACAUUACUCCCCUCCCUGAACGGUGAGCUGGAGUUGCACAGCUUAGGUCCUCUUUGGGUAGAGUACAUGCUUCCCAAUUCUCCAGGGCUCCUUCCACUGUUGCUACUUCAGCCUAUAUUUUAGUGUUUUGCUUGUAGUGCAGAAAUAUUUCUCUGUGCUCAUGAAUCUACAAAAUGUGAGAAAACAAAACAUAUACCCAGAGGACUGUGUGUUUUACCAGCAAGUGCAGAAAGCGCCUUUGUGGAAGCAAGGAAUAGUGCUAAUAUUUACUAUGCAAACCCCCGGCAUGCACCACUCAUUCUCAUUACCUGCCUGGCUCUUAAGGGUAUUUUAUUUUGUAGCCUCUGCCUGGAAGACUUGGAAGACGGAAAUCUGUAGAUAGUCUGCAACUAUUUAUCCACCCAUUUCUGCUUACAUAGGUCAUGGCAGAAUUACCGUGGCACGCUACUUUGGCAAGAGUUCUGCUGUCUUUAGCCCUUGCAUAGUUAAUCACCUGCAGCAAACUUAAAGAAUCUUAUCCAUCGGUCUUCAAAGGGGUAGGAAUUUGAGAGACCAACCUUUAGCUCUUUUGCUUGGAAUACUAAUAACAUGAAUUUCUACAAUGGUCUUCUCCAUCUUUCAUAUACAUGAGGAAGUUCAGGCUCAGACAGAUAAAUGACUUGCCCAAAGGGUGAAACUGGAGUAUUAGCUGGUCUAGAAAGAAGGUUGGGAAGGAAACAUUUCCUUACUCCUUCACCUGGGGAAAGCAAGUUGCCCUUCCCCACACCCUCUUCUGUCCCCCAGCAUGCAUACAAUAUGUACACACACUAGCCCACUGGUUACAGGCUGGCUAGCUUCUCCCAGCCUCUCUCCAGAGGGUCACCCUCAUCUAGCAGAUGUGGGCAGGAAGAGAAGUCCACUUGUGCUUGCUGCCAGAGGAGAUGGCCACUGCCAAUUGAGGCUGAUCAUGAAGAGUGGGUUCCUGGAGUCCUCAGCAGAGCACUGGCUAUUCAUGGACAAGGACAGGUGAGAAGCCCUCCUGUUUUCUGCCUCUGGCUCUGUAGUGUUGCCUAGUUCGCAUCAGAUGGGGAAGGAGCUAAAUACUCAUCCCAGCUCAGAAGUGGAACUGAGACUGCUCCGCCAGGGCGCAAAUAUCAUGGUGCAUAGAGAGCAUAUAAACAUCCUAAAGGCCAGGCACGGUGGCUCAUGCCUGUAAUCCCAGCACUUUGGGAGGCCGAGGUGGGUGGAUCACCUAAGGUCGGGAGUUCAAGACCAGCCUGGCCAACACGGUGAAACCCCGUCUC